rnacentral:tRNA from 1 species
GGAUUGUGGCUCAGCGGUAGAGUGCUCGUCUCGCACGUGUGAGACUCUGGGUUCCAUCCUCAGCACCA